GCGGUAGUAGCUCAAUGGUAGAGCAUCAGAUUUCCAAUCUGAUUGUUGCGAGAUCGUGCCUCGUCUACCGCUCCA
rnacentral:tRNA from 2 species